CACAUGCCACGGUGUGUAGACCCACAUGCCACGGUGUGUAGACCCACAUGCCACGGUGUGUAGACCCACAUGCCACGGUGUGUAGACCCAUAUGCCACGGUGUGU
ensembl:miRNA Gm25931 predicted gene, 25931